UGCAGUCGAGGGGCAUCACAUGAAGUAGCAAUACGGAUGGUGGCGACCGGCGCACGGGUGAGUAACGCGUAUGCAAUCUACCUACAACAAGGGGAUAACCCGUUGAAAGACGGACUAAUACCCUAUAAUACAGGGGUUCCGCAUGGGACUAUUUGUUAAAGAUUCAUCGGUUGUAGAUGAGCAUGCGUUCCAUUAGCUGGUUGGUGGGGUAACGGCCCACCAAGGCAACGAUGGAUAGGGGAACUGAGAGGUUUAUCCCCCACACUGGUACUGAGACACGGACCAGACUCCUACGGGAGGCAGCAGUGAGGAAUAUUGGUCAAUGGACGCAAGUCUGAACCAGCCACGUCGCGUGAAGGAAGACGGCCCUACGGGUUGUAAACUUCUUUUGUAAGGGAAUAAAGUGAGUCACGGGUGACUUUUUGCAUGUACCUUACGAAUAAGGAUCGGCUAACUCCGUGCCAGCAGCCGCGGUAAUACGGAGGAUCCGAGCGUUAUCCGGAUUUAUUGGGUUUAAAGGGUGCGCAGGCGGGAGAUUAAGUCGGCGGUGAAAUUUUGCAGCUCAACUGUAAAAGUGCCAUCGAUACUGGUUUUCUUGAGUGUAGAUGAAGUAGGCGGAAUUUGUGGUGUAGCGGUGAAAUGCAUAGAUAUCACGAGGAACUCCGAUUGCGC
rnacentral:rRNA from 1 species